GGACUACUAUUACACUGCGAAAUAACUGUGGAUAUACGGUAUGGGCUGCUAUGUACGCCAGAACUAAAUCAAAUCCAAGGUACUUACCUCCCAACGGUGGUGGAUGGCAAAUGAGUCCCGGUCAGGUUGUUAAUAUACCUGUUCCGAAUGAUCUUAUUGCUGGACGUUGGUGGGGACGAACUGGCUGCAGGACAACUAAUGGUCAUUUUCACUGUGACACAGGGGACUGUGGACCUUGGUUGGACUGUGGAAACCAUCACUCAACAGGUGCACCUCCAGCAUCCCUUGCAGAGAUUACUUUGAACUCCCCACAAGAUUUCUACGAUCUAAGUUUGGUAGAUGGAUUCAACAUUCCAUUGACCCUUAAACCAACGAGUCGAUACGGUGGAGGUAAUGCCUACUGGUGUAAGGAAGCCUUUUGUAGAACAGACAUGAAUGCCAUAUGUCCUUCAGAAUUACAACAAAGAGUUAACGGGCGUGUCGUUGGUUGUAAAUCCGCUUGUGUUGCCUUCCAUAGGGAUGAAUACUGUUGUGCCGGAGCCCAUAACCGACCGCAGACAUGCAACCCUGCCACGUGGCCGAAAGAUUAUCAUGCAGUUUUUAAGAACCCUUGUCCAACAGCUUACAGCUAUGCAUACGACGACCAUACUAGUACAUUCACAUGCCAAAAUACAAAUUAUGAUGUUAUUUUCUGUUAAUAAAAUAUCAAUUUUA